rnacentral:lncRNA from 1 species
UAUUUAUCGGAAGUCUCGCGCCCGGUGAAGCUGCCUUGGUGGAACAAACCUGGGAAGAACACCCAGCUGCCCCGAAUUCUGCGUCCCCUUCGCGCAGCGGCCGCUGACUUCUCAGGUCAGGCAGCGGGGCGUCCACCCCGCACCCCGGCUUUCUCUGUCAGAUCUCAAGCCACCAGGAACCCGGGCCAGGUUCACGCAGACGCCUGCACCGAAGAAAUCAGCAGCUUCAUUUCCAAGCUCUUCUUUGCCGAAGCUCAAAGUGAGCCAGCGGCGGCGGCACCUGGUGUCCCCCUCGAGGGUGACGCGGGGGGCCCGGCCGGCGUCUGAGGCAGAGACAGGACGCUGCUCCCCGCGCCGCUGGGGCACACGGGCAGGCGGCCCGCUGCGGCCGCGCCGACGGCGGGCAGUGAAAGAGGCAGACCCCGCAGCCCGCGGCUGCGCUGUCGUCCCCGCAACAGCGGUACCGGUGCAGCCGGGGCACAGCCAGCAGGGUCUCUGCUACCUGUCGCUGCAGCAGCCCCGGCGCCAGCCGCAGGGACAGCCGCAGGUGACGUGCAGACCGGUGCCUGUCACACCCUGGCACGUUGACGCGGGCGGGCCCGCUGGUCCCCAUGGCAACAAAGCCGUUGUUGGCCGGAUGGCGCGGAUCCAGCAGCGGAGGAAGAGGGAGUUCUCCCAGGCCGCGCGUCAGCACAACACCUUAGCAACGGCUGUUUGUGCCCAGAGUGGACCUGGAAACAGAGACGGAGGCUGGAGGGGGCAGAGCGGGCCACCCCGGAGCGGGAUUCCCGGGACAGAAGGAGCGAGAAGCCAGCAGCUUCCUGAAUGCUUACUCUGUGCUGCUGUACCCGUCCUCUAACAAGUGUACAGCGGCUCGCUAGAAACAAUCCUCACCUUUAAGAAAUCAAGUGGAAAAACAGACACAUAAAGUAAGUAAUUACAUGUUAUCCCUGUGACCAUUAUAUUAAGAUGUGCAGCCAGGUGUGGUGUGUUGGAGCCUCAGGAGGCUGAGGCAGGAGGAUCACCGUGAGCUCUGAGGCCAGCCUGGGCUACAAAGUCAGUUCAAGGCGAGCCUGAACUAUGCAGCGAGACCCUGCCUCACAAACAAGAGCAAUGACAACCGUGUGCAUGUGAGAUUCUGUGAGAACACAGAGAAGGCUAUCACAGGUAUGGGGAAAGGUCACCCUUAAAGAGAUGACAAUUUAUUUUUGCAUUUAUCUACUGCUAAACUUGUAUCUUUUUCUCCCUCAAUCUUUUUCUUUCUCUUUCUCUCUGUCAGUCUUCCUUUCUUUCUGGCUGCGCCAGGGAUUGAACCCAGGGUUUUUCACACAGGCUAGGCAAGCACGCUGCCACUGAGCUCUAACUCCCAGGCCUGACUGUGCUUUACUUGCAUAAAUACAUAGAAUACAAUAACAUUACUAAGGAGAACCUUUCCCCUCUGCUUUGCACAUGACCAGUUUUUCUUUCCUGUGUUUCCAGAUAGCCUCUGUCCGUAAGGACACACGUGCGUGGUCUAGAAAGCUGAAAUCAUAAUAGCUAUAAUUGUAUGCUCCAUAAAUGUGCAUAUAUUUGGCUAUUUGAAAGUUGAAAUAUGACUCCCUGUUAAAACAAAAUUAUUACAAGUUGCUGUAUUUUCCAGAAUAGCCUAGAGAAUGUGCCACAUUUUAUUGCUAUAUUAUCAUGACUGUACAGUUUAGAGAGGUUGUAUAGCAAUUAGAAUAAAUUAUUACUGCCUAAUAAAUUUGUGUUUUUGUGUGUUCUUUUGAGGCAGGUCUCACUAUGUAGCCCAAACUGGCCUUGAACUCACAGCCAUCCUUCUGCAUCAGCCUCCCAAGCGCUGGGAUUACAGGGGUGCGCCACCACGCCUGGCCCCACGCCUGGCUCUUUAAACACAUGUCUGUCACAGAACUUCACAGCUGAGAGCCUCCAGGGCUCCCCUUCCCUGUCCCCGCCACAGCUGAAGUCCCCUGGCUGACUCAUGGGCCUCUUCUGGUGACCAAGCCCGGUUACUCUCCCACCCUUCUCUUCCGGCUCACGUUCCCCUCCGCUGACGGGGCCCAUGCUACUCCCCACCUGGAGCCCCUGGUGUUGUCCCUCUCUCUGGACGCACUCUGAGUUCUUCCAGGAGCCUCAUGACCUGGCCGCUGCUUGCCUGGCUGUUGCGUUGUCCUCUAAACUCCCAUGGCCUGGAUCACCACGAGAGAACACUAGUGUGGAAUACCCUGGGGUGCCCAGGGUGGGGUCUUGGGAGUUGUUUGUGUCUCAUAAUAGGUUGCAGAGUCCUCAUCGAUCCAAGUAGGACCAAAUGUUAAAAUGAUCUAAAAGACAGCCAGGCGUGGUGGCACAUGCCUAUAAUCCCAGCACUCGAGGAGGCCGAGGCAGCAGGAUCACCACAAGGUCCAGGCCAGCCUGGGUUACAUAGUGAGACCCUGUCCCCUAGACUCUGAUCCUAACCAGCUAUCGUUUAUUGAAUUCAGACUGCAAGCCCCUUAGAAAUCAAUCUGCCUCAAGCAUUUCUUUAGAAAUGUAAUAUUUUCAGAAAAAAAAUUUUAAAUUCUCAGAAAAUAUAUUUGACAAACCCUUCUGCUAUUUCCCCCUACUUUUGUGUAAGCAUUACUUAAUGGGGCAUGUUAGGCUGAAUUAUAAACAAUCACUUCCUAGAAUGCAAAAGUCAACAAUGUAGGCCAUGACACGGCCCUGGACCAACUCGGUUACUUCAGGUCUCAGGACAGUCACGCUGCGGAGGACAGGAAUCUCUGGUAUUUG